AUCAUCAUCGUCAUCAGAAAACGAUGCGAUAUGAUGUAUUGCCUGUCGCAGGGAUCCUGCGACUGGGAUCCUCUUCAUCAGUCUUCAGCAAAAGCACGUGGGAGAGUUGGAAAUUGAUGAAUUUAACAUUCACUGACGCAAAUUUGACGAGUACCGUGCCAGACGAAGAGAAUUUCCUGCCAGAUUUACUCUCGAUCGAAGAAAAUUGUCACCGUUCAAAGUGACCGACCGGCGAGGUGAUCUUGAUCAACAUCCCUUCCCCCUCCCCACGAUCGUCUGUUUUUCUCCGAUUUCUGCGAAAAUUACGAAUUUCAAGCUACUGUAGCUGUAGAUGUACUUACACUUGAAGAACGACCUACCCAUCAUGUUCGCGACCAGUUUCGACUUUCGAUGACGUAAAUAUUACGGUAAUUUGCAUAUUUCGUCACUUCCCCGGAACGGGUGGAAAUAUAGGAGGAAAAAUACCUAAUCAGGUUUUUGGCGUGUGUUCGACUCAAUUCGACGAUACAGGUAUGUUGCCUACCCCACGAGGAAGCAUGGAAGAAGAUGCACACGAAAGGCUAGAUAACUAUAGGUAUAAGCUUCAGCUUCAGCUUCCACUUGGUCAGUUCGCUUCGAUCGUCGAGAUAAUCGUGUUAAAUGGAUGAUUUUCACUGCCCCGAAGGCUACGAUUCGUUUAUUGUGGAUGAAGGAAGAAGUCCGAUUACACGAGCUGGAGCAAGAGCAAGAGCGUACUCAUUGUCAGUACAACGAGCCACAUGCUUAUCUACCUGUUCAAGUGUUCAUAUAGGAUAGGUGGAGAUUUCACCACACGAUCAUUCGUAUUCGCCAAAAGACACUGUUCCAAGAACCCGAGAACCACACCAAUGAUUUUCUAAAUUCUCUGCAGCUAAAGCCCGAAGCUUCAAGUUUUCAUAUAAUCACCGCAACACGUGCAAAUUAAAGCGAACCCAUAGCUCUGUAUAGUUCGCGUCCAAGUUCAAUAAUUCCGUAUACAUAUUUCAAUAUAUUCUCUAAUUAAGCAGGCUUUCGCGAUGUAGGUAGAUCUCGAGGUAGUAACUACCAAUAACCGACGACUAACAAACUAACAAGUGCUUAUCUUUUCGCAAGUAUAUGGAAAUCACGUCGUAAAUUCUCAACUUGGCGAUACACCUGUGGCUUUUUUUAUAGCCCGAAGCGGCCUGAACCUGCCAACCGGCGAACCGGCGAUACAUUGUGAAUAUUCUCACAUAAAUAGGUAUAUUGUACCGUUCCAUUCACGGCUCGUGACGUUUUUAAUUGACGACGCAGGACGCAGCAGCGGCGAGAGGAGGAAAGAAAAUCAAAACACAAAUAUCUAUCAAACCAAAGACACACGGGUAAGAUUAAUUUAAGAAAAAAUUUGAACGGAAAUUGAAAUAAACUGAUCCUUAAUUGACGAGGUGUUGCGAACUUGGAUUCUUCCAUGUGAGGUGAAAAGAUCAAGUAAUCGAGUUGUUUUUUCAUCCUUUUGUUUUCACUAGUCCUAGUCGUACGUACAACCUACGUGCCAGUGUUGUCUUGUUUACUUGUCAUUGGUUUAUUUGAUCUUCCAUUUCGUGUUUCUCGAAUCUUGAAGAUAACCUCAAGUGCGAUAGAAAAAAUAUCAAAAUUAAGUACCUAUACGUAGCUAGUGUUCAGUCUGCAUAUUUAUUAUUUGAAGGAUUGUUGUGAAGGAGUGUUACACUUACAACUCUUCUUUCUAACUACGAAAUUGAUGGAUUUUGGAAAAAGAGGAAUCGAAGAAGGCAUGAUAUGAAAAUAAUGCUGUUGUAAGUUGAUGAACUUGAAAAAGGAUCGUAUUUUUUCUCCUCAGUUGGGUCUCGAGCUCAGGCAAAGUAAUCGCUUUCAGUUCAGCUCACAAGGGAACCGGUUGAGGUGUCACACUUCGAUUUGAACGGGACCGUGAUUUUUGGAAAGAGCAUAGUCUAAAACCCCCAAAACCAAAUUUUCAGCUGUCCAAGUUCAUUUU